rnacentral:tRNA from 1 species
GCCGUGAUCGUACAGUGGAUAGAACAUUGUGUUGUGGCCACAAUAACCAAGGUUCGAAUCCUGGUCAAGGCA